rnacentral:tRNA from 1 species
GCCCUUAUAGCACAGUGGUAGUGCGUUGCACUUGUACCAUGCAAAGGUCCAUCGUUCAAUCCGGUGUGAGGGCA